CCUACGGGAGGCUGCAGUGGGGAAUAUUGCACAAUGGGGGAAACCCUGAUGCAGCGACGCCGCGUGAGUGAAGAAGUAAUUCGUUAUGUAAAGCUCUAUCAGCAGGGAAGAAAAUGACGGUACCUGAGUAAGAAGCCCCGGCUAACUACGUGCCAGCAGCCGCGGUAAUACGUAGGGGGCAAGCGUUAUCCGGAUUUACUGGGUGUAAAGGGAGCGUAGACGGCAGUGCAAGUAUGGAGGGAAAGGCGGGGGCGCAAACCCCGGACUGCUCUGGAAACUGUACGGCUGGAGUGCAGGAGAGGUAAGUGGAAUUCCUAGUGUAGCGGUGAAAUGCGUAGAUAUUAGGAGGAACACCAGUGGCGAAGGCGGCUUACUGGACUGUAACUGACGUUGAGGCUCGAAAGCGUGGGGAGCAAACAGGAUUAGAUACCCCAGUAGUC
rnacentral:rRNA from 1 species